rnacentral:rRNA from 1 species
CACGUAGGGGGCAAGCGUUGUUCGGAAUUACUGGGCGUAAAGGGCACGUAGGCGGUUCUGUAAGCCUGACGUGAAAGGCUAUGGCUUAACCAUGGCAUUGCGUUGGGAACUGCGGGACUUGAAUCACGGAGAGGGAGCUGGAAUUCCAGGUGUAGGGGUGAAAUCUGUAGAUAUCUGGAAGAACACCAAUGGCGAAGGCAAGCUCCUGGCCGAUGAUUGACGCUGAGGUGCGAAAGUGUGGGGAUCAAACAGG